rnacentral:rRNA from 1 species
AACGUAGGAGGCAAGCGUUAUCCGGAUUUAUUGGGCGUAAAGCGCGUGCAGGCCGCUUGGAAAGUUGGAUGUGAAAGCUCCUGGCUUAACUGGGAGAGGUCGUUCAAAACUACCAAGCUAGAGAAUGGGAGAGGGAAGUGGAAUUCCGGGUGUAGUGGUGAAAUGCGUAGAUAUCCGGAGGAACACCAGUGGCGAAAGCGGCUUCCUAGACCAUUUCUGACGCUCAGACGCGAAAGCUAGGGGAGCGAACGGGAUUAGAGACCCCGGUAGUCCUAGCUGUAAACGAUGUAGACUUGGCGUUGGCGGAGUUAAAUCUGCCAGUGCCGGAGCUAACGCGUUAAGUCUACCGCCUGGGGACUACGACCGCAAGGUUAAA